AGCGAACGCUGGCGGCAGGCCUAACACAUGCAAGUCGAGCGCCCCGCAAGGGGAGCGGCAGACGGGAGAGUAACACGUGGGAACGUACCCUUCGGUUCGGAACAACCCAGGGAAACUUGGGCUAAUACCGGAUACGUCCGAAAGGAGAAAGAUUUAUCGCCGAGGGAUCGGCCCGCGUCUGAUUAGCUAGUUGGUGGGGUAACGGCGCUCCAAGGCGACGAUCAGUAGCUGGUCUGGGGGGAUGAUCAGCCGGACUGGGACUGAGACACGGCCCAGACUCCGAGGGGAGGGAGCAGUGGGGAAUAUUGGACAAUGGGCGCAAGCCUGAUCCAGCCAUGCCGCGUGGGUGAUGAAGGCCCUAAGGUUGUAAAGCCCUUUCGGCGGGGAAGAUAAUGACGGUACCCGCAGAAGAAGCCCCGGCUAACUUCGUGCCAGCAGCCGCCGUAAGAC
rnacentral:rRNA from 1 species